UAUAAACGUCUGAUAAAAGAACAAUUGUAUGUCGCUGAGAGUAAAAGUGUUUUGUAAUCUUUUAACGCAAGAGAAGUUGAAGCGCGCUUGAAUGUAAACACAAAUAUUUUAAUUUUUCGAGUCAUAGCCACACACGUGCCAAUUCCGCAUCCAAUCCAUUUUGCUACGCACACUUAAGAUGGCGGCUACGUGAAAACAGCUGAUCGGUUCUGUGGGCCGCUCUUGGUGUAUUUUUGUCCGUAACGCUGCCUGAUGAGAUGAAAUCUCGGCGUACGAGGUACUUUCGCCCGAGAAGAAUUCUUGAAGCUGUGAACAUCAUGAAGACUGUGAAAGCGUAGUGCUCGGAUACGGAAGAAUCGAUGAAGGUUGGAAGGCAUCUCAACAGAUAGCUGUGGUACACUCCCCCGUGCGGGCGGUACAGAUACUCCGCCAACAGCCGCUGGAGGAUGCGGCCUGCAGGGCAACCGCCGAGUAUGCGCGGCAGGGGCAGCUGGCUGAGGCAGUGAACGCGGAGGCCGCCAGUUUCCACCAGCUGCUGCUGCAGCAAAAUAGGCAGGUACGUACAACUUGGCCAGGUCAUUUUUUAAAGAGGUGAUUAGUGCGCAUGGUAAUGUACAUUACAACCAUAUUACACAUCAGAGGCAUCUGUAGUCAUUUGGCUCAGUGGUUCAUGCACUUUAAUGUACAUUACAACCAUCAUAUUACACAUCAGAGGCAUCUGUAGUCAUUUGGCUUAUUGGUUCAUGCACGUUUAUACAUCUCCUUUGAGGUGUUCUUUAACACAUAGCAACUUACAAAACAUUUCCAUGGUUGCAUGUAUCACCACAGCAUGAUCAUCAUUUGUUUAACAAUUUAACUAGUCACGAAUACUGUCUUCUGACAGGCAGAGGCAGCUUGGUAGGAUUUGCUACGUUUCACAUGUUUUAAACAUAACAGACCAUAUACGUUUGCACGGCCAUUUCUCAUGUCAUAGGUAAAUGAUCUCGCUGCCCUCAAGAGUAACCUUGCUGAACCUGUAGCACUUGCAAACAGUGCGAAUAAACGUUUACAUUGCAUAACCUGCAGCUGAAGUGAGUAAAUUUGUUUCGCAGCAUCAUCAGCAGUUGGUGGAGGAGCUGAGGGCGGCCCGGGUGGUGCAGCAGCAGCUGGCAGCAGAGAUGCGUGGUUUGAGAGCGGCCACCGGCCUCAUCGCGACAACACUGCGCCAGCUCCUGGCUCGCCUCUGCGAGCAUCCUCAGCCAUGAGGGACAGUCCCCCCCCCCCCCCCAUGUCAUCCUUUAGUACUAAUAGGUACAAGUGUUGCCCAUCUUUCCGUUCAAAUCACCGCUGCAGCAUUUGGUGGUGGUGCCCAUACCUCCUCGAAAGCUGUUGUGGCGAGUUGUAGCCAGUCUUGUGAAAUUAUGUGCAGGUCAUGUGCGACCAUGGCAGCGAAAGCUGAUAGUGCUGUGAUGUCACUUUGAAACACAAAUGCGUGUUUUUUUUUUUUUUUGUAUGUAGCACUAAAGGAUGAUAUGACUGUUUUCCCUACAUUUCUGUACCUAAUCAUUUUUUUCCAAGGUAAUUUCUUUUCAUGUGUAUUUUCACUUGCAGUGCAAGUUUGCCCAAGUGAGACGUUAUAAAUUAUAUGUAGAAUGUUUGCCAUAUUUCCGUUAGGUGUUGUUCACUUCUGUUUUGCUGUUACUGAUAUGUUUCAAUGCGCACCGUUUUUCCAAGGAAGAUAUACACUAUGCAAUCACUUUUACAGCAACUUCGACAUUGUCUCGCACACAUACAGGUGCACUUAACUACAAUGCUGUGAUAACUGGAAAUGAAUUUUCAUGCCAUAUGUAUGUCAUGUUUGCAACGUCAAACUUUGCAACGCCUACGCAAUGCAAAGUAGCCGAAUUUGAAUUUUUUUAACACCAAGCGCCUGUUACUUGUGAUAGUUAUUGUGAUAUUUCAGGUGUCCUUACCUAUGAUAGCAGUACAAUCUAGUCCCCAUUGUAGUUGAGCACAGUUUGUGACAUACAUAAUGGAGCCAUCGAUGUGGCCACUAUUUUGACAUUCGCUGCCAGGCUGCUCUUGCAGCCGUUAUAUGAAAUACCGUUGAAGUGCCAAACGUUUUCUCACUUGUCCUUCCUUAAAAGCAUGUGAUGGUUGUUUUAUAUUGUGAUCUUAUUACGGCACUAGUCAUUGAACUAUUUCGUGCUACAAACACGCUGACUACACAAUAGACAAGACAUCUUUCUUGCUGUUAAGUUGCUGAAUGAAGAUAAAUGGUUGUGUGCGAGUUCAAAAAAACAUCAUAAUGCUCGUGUCAUAUUUAUGCAGUUUAACAUCUGCCAACUGGGUAGUGUACUGGGUCCCAUGUAGUGAACAUCACACGGCUAUUUUGGCGCCAUGAAGUCAUGCUCUGUGUGCUUGUCUGUCAUUUGCUUUGAUGAAAGAUGGCAUUGAAGAUGGGUCACAUGGUUUUAUUUACAAUGCAGAUAUAAAUAAACAAUCUUAAACAAUGCAAGUGGCACUUGAAAUGAAUAUUUACAAUGUGUGUUCCUUCAAUUUCAGAACUAUUUACAUAUGUACACUCUCCCAAGGGAGAAUAACGCGCUUGACAUGCCAGGCGAUUGUUUUCGGCAUAACUUGGCCUUCUGUCAAGGAACUGUGCGGUGGCUGUGUGGCAAAAUAGCGCAGGACCUACAAGGUGCGUGAGAACAGUACACAUGGUGGAGCGAGAAGUGUUGUGCUUGACAGCAGCCCAAAUAGGAAGGGAGGAGACGAAGACCAGCCUCCCAUACACAGUGCAGAUGGCGGUGACAGUGUCGGUGAUGACAGAAGCAACAGCAGCAGCAGCAAAUCAUUUGGCAAACCACAGCUGCCCAGAGAAGUGGCUACAGCAUUCUGCUGAUGAACACAAAGUGUUCUAUCCACAGGUACUAAAUGAAAGGCUCUCAUGUAGUGUCACAUUGGAAUGAUGCAAUCAUCUCCGGUAGUAACAGCUCACUGGCAGAGGACACGUGAAAACGCUGGUUAUAUUUGAGCAGAUUCGAUAAAGAAACAGCACGCUAUCCACUAAUUGCACACAUUUCUUCACAUUGGUUCCUGCUCUCUAUUAGGUGUGUAGACAGCAGUAAUAAACAUCUGCCUGCAGUGUCAGGCACGUGUUUAUUUAUUUAUUUAUUCAUUUAUUUAUUCAUUUCCUCAAAGGUCUCUGUUGAGACAUUACAUGAGGGAGUGGGGAGUUAGUGACAAAGGCAGAUACUACAAAUUACAAAGGGAUAUUUUCGAUGAGUCGCUUGAAUGCAAGUGGGUCGAUGAUAGUGGCAACUUCGGCAGGCAGGCCAUUCCAGUCUCGAGUUGUGCGCAGAAAAAAUGAUUGCUGAAAAGUAACGGUAUGGGCUUGUGGGGGAUAUACUGUAUUAGAGUGACUGGUGCGGGCAAUGCGAUGUGCUCUUUUUAUGUACGGGUUGUCAAAAGGCAAGGAAUGAAAGAAUUUACGAAAAAGCUUAAGACGGGCUAUUCUACGGCGUGAGGCUAGAGAGGGUAGGUUUAUUUGGGCUUUUAGUGCCGAGAUACUUGAAUUAUAUGAAUAAGUUGACAGGAUAAAUCGUGUCGCGCGGUUCUGAAUCGACUCGAGGGCAUUAAUAAGGUUAUUGUGGUGGGGGUCAAAAAUAGCUUCGGCAUACUCAAGCUUGGGCCGCACAAUGGUUAGAAAAGCAAGUUGUUUAAUAGAGGGAGGAGCUAGGUAAAGGUUACGGCGUAGAUAACCUAGAGUACGAUUAGCAGAGUUUAUUAUGUGGUUAACAUGACAGGUCCAAGUUAAGUCACGCGAGAUGUACACACCAAGAUAUUUGAAUGAAUCCGUUGUUGCAAUCUGCGUGUUAUUGAUGCUAUAAUUAGGGAUAUCGUAAUUACGACGACGAUGAAUAGACAUUAACACGGUUUUAGCUACAUUUAAUGACAUGAGCCAAGUGGUACACCAGUUUUGUAUGAGCGAUAGGUCAUUUUGUAACGCCAAAUGGUCGCUGGGGUUAGUAACUGCUCGGUAAAUCACACAAUCAUCAGCGAAGAGUCGGAUAUGAGAAGAAAUAUUACAAGGUAGG